rnacentral:rRNA from 1 species
GGCCCCUGGACAAGACUGACGCUCAGGUGCGAAAGCGUGGGGAGCAAACAGGAUUAGAUACCUGGUAGUCCACGCUGUAAACGAUGUCGAUUUGGAGGUUGUUCCCUGAGGAGUGGCUUCCGGAGCUAACGCGUUAAAUCGACCGCUGGGGAGUACGGCCGCAAGGUUAAAACUCAAAUGAAUUGACGGGGGCCCGCACAAGCGGUGGAGCAUGUGGUUUAAUUCGAUGCAACGCGAAGAACCUUACCUACUCUUGACAUCCAGAGAAUUUAGCAGAGACGCUUUAGUGCCUUCGGGAACUCUGAGACAGGUGCUGCAUGGCUGUCGUCAGCUCGUGUUGUGAAAUGUUGGGUUAAGUCCCGCAACGAGCGCAACCCUUAUCCUUUGUUGCCAGCACGUUAUGGUGGGAACUCAAAGGAGACUGCCGGUGAUAAACCGGAGGAAGGUGGGGAUGACGUCAAGUCAUCAUGGCCCUUACGAGUAGGGCUACACACGUGCUACAAUGGCGUAUACAAAGAGAAGCGACCUCGCGAGAGCAAGCGGAACUCAUAAAGUACGUCGUAGUCCGGAUUGGAGUCUGCAACUCGACUCCAUGAAGUCGGAAUCGCUAGUAAUCGUAGAUCAGAAUGCUACGGUGAAUACGUUCCCGGGCCUUGUACACACCGCCCGUCACACCAUGGGAGUGGGUUGCAAAAGAAGUAGGUAGCUUAACCUUCGGGAGGGCGCUUACCACUUUGUGAUUCAUGACUGGGGUGAAGUCGUAACAAGGUAACCA